UUACCAAAUGGAACUCUUUAUAUAUAUUCCAACUUUAUUAUUCCAAUAAUAAUAAUUCCAAAUAAUAUUCCAACAAUAAUCCAAUUAUUUAAUUAAAUUAAUAAAUAUACUAUUAACUUAAUUUAAAUAAUUAUCAUAUUUUAUCGGGGUGUUACAACGUAAGCCUUGAGUUCUCUAUUGAGAUACGUAGGAGCAGGAUUUGUAAAUCUUGUCAGGCCCACUAAUAAAAAACUUAGGUUUAGUCCUUCGUCGAAAACCCAAAAAAAU
rnacentral:lncRNA from 1 species